rnacentral:rRNA from 1 species
AGGACGAACGCUGGCGGCGUGCUUAACACAUGCAAGUGGUGCGACGAACCAGGGCUUGCCCUGGGACAAAGCCGCGAACGGGUGAGUAACACGUGAGUAACCUGCCCCGAUGACCGGGACAACCCGAGGAAACUCGGGCUAAUACCGGAUGUGGCGCACAGGCAUAAGCCUGUUCGCUAAAGGAAGCUUCGGCCUCCGCAUUGGGAGGGGCUCGCGGCCCAUUAGCUUGUUGGUGGGGUCACGGCCUACCAAGGCGACGAUGGGUAGCUGGUCUGAGAGGACGAUCAGCCGCACUGGGACUGAGACACGGCCCAGACUCCUACGGGAGGCAGCAGUGGGGAAUCUUGCGCAAUGCGCGAAAGCGUGACGCAGCAACGCCGCGUGGGGGAAGACGGCCUUCGGGUUGUAAACCCCUUUCAGGAGGGACGAAGGUUCGCCGGUGAAUAGCCGUGCGGAUUGACGGUACCUCCAGAAGAAGCUCCGGCUAACUACGUGCCAGCAGCUGCGGUAAUACGUAGGGAGCAAGCGUUGUCCGGAAUCAUUGGGCGUAAAGCGCGCGUAGGCGGCCCCGUAAGUCCGCUGUGAAAGUCAAAGGCUCAACCUUUGAAAGCCGGUGGAUACUGUGGGGCUAGAGUCCGGAAGAGGCGAGUGGAAUUCCUGGUGUAGCGGUGGAAUGCGCAGAUAUCAGGAGGAACACCAAUAGCGAAGGCAGCUCGCUGGGACGGUACUGACGCUAAGGCGCGAAAGCGUGGGGAGCGAACAGGAUUAGAUACCCUGGUAGUCCACGCCGUAAACGAUGGGCACUAGGUUGUGGGGGGGGGUCGACUCCUUCCGUGCCGUCGCUAACGCACUAAGUGCCCGCCUGGGGAGUACGGCCGCAAGGCUAAA